GAUGAACGCUAGCUACAGGCUUAACACAUGCAAGUCGAGGGACCCGCGCACGGGUGAGUAACACGUAUCCCACCUCCCCUUUCCUCGAGGAUAGCCUUUCGCAAAAACGAUUUACACCCGAUAUAAAGGAAGGGGAUGCGUUCCAUUAGGUUGUUGGUGAGGUAACGGCACACCAAGCCUUCGAUGGAUAGUGGUUCUGAGAGGAAGGUACCCCACGUUGGAACUGAGACACGGUCCAAGCUCGGACGCGAGGGAGCAGUAAGGAAUAUUGGUCAAUGGGCGCUAGCGUGAACCAGCCGAGUAGCGGGAAGGAGGAAGGCUUAUUGGUGGUAAGCUUCUGUUAUAUAAGAAUAGGUAUUAAAUGAAUAAGGAUCGGCUAACUCCGUGCCAGCAGCCGCGGUAAUUC
rnacentral:rRNA from 1 species